GUUUUUUUCUUUUUUUCUUUUUUCCUCUGUCCCUCCCUCCCUUUGUUCAUUGGCAGAGUUUCAUGUAGUCAAGGCUGGCUUCUAACGUAUUAUGUAUCCAAGGCUGGCUUUGAACUCCUGAUCCUCCGGCUUCUACUUUGCAAGUGCUUGGGUUGUAGGUGUGUGUCAUCAUGCCUGCCUUUAGUGUUCUUUUUAAAACGGAAGCAAUGGCUGCUGUCAGUGAUGCCUGGGUUUGUGGAAAUACAAACUCAUCUUCAUACUGUGGAGAAUGUUACCAUGACUUAUGUUCUUCUACUGAUUUGUGAUACAAAAGGUGACAGAAAGGGGGAGGGGAAGGAAAGUCUGAGGUGAUGGACAGUUGGCUCCGUGGGUAGGCUUGUUUGUUGUGAAAGCAGGAGGAGCUAGUUUAAAUCUUCACAUGGGCCAGGAAGAUCUCUGAAAAUUCACUUGCCAGCCAACCUACCUGAAACUGAAGCCCCUGACCACUCCAUGCAUGUGCACACACAAGCACUUGUACACAUACACAUGUGUGUACAACACAGCCCACAAAAUAAAUUUUAAAAAGACUCUGAAUACAAAA
rnacentral:lncRNA from 1 species